GGGGGUGAAUGGACUCGACUCGGGAGGCAGAACUUAAGCUGCAUGCCGAGGUUGCCAGGAGGCCUCGUCCCGUAAGGGUCCCCGCCUGUGGCGGUGGAAAAACACCUGGCAGAAAAAUAAGCGACGCAUCUUGUGGCGUUGCCUUCUCCCUCUGUUAAGAGGGAGGCCCCUUUCAGGAUAAGUCCGCGGUCCUGUAGGGGUUCGGGAAGUCCUCGUUUAAUAACGGGGGCGAGCGGACUGCGCCAGAUGCUUUUGCCUGCGAGCAUCUGGUUAAGAAUAGCAGGCUAUAUCUGCUCAAAUCCUGCCCAUCGGAGUUGAGCAGAUGAAUAUAAAAAGAUGGGCUAAGCAUGUAGAUGCUUAAGGGAGGCCUCACCGAGGACGCGGGUUCGAUUCCCGCCACCUCCACCA
rnacentral:tmRNA from 1 species